GGGGUUGCCAGAAGAUCAUCAUAACAUUCACCCAGCAUUUCAGCACAGCAGCAGGAAGGGUGAUAAGGGACACCGGAAGCUUCAUUCCAAAAGCAGCCACUCUGACUGAGAAUGGGAACCCUGCAGCAAAGGUGGGGAGGUGGCAGGACCUCCUCAAGACAACAGGAAAAAACAGAAAUUGAUUAUUAAAAGGCAGCUGACAGCUCCCUGAGAGUUUCUGCUCAGAAGAGCACCAGAGAGCAAAUACCUUCUCCCA